rnacentral:lncRNA from 1 species
GACUCCAACCCAAAACUAAACAAUAUAUAGGAGUCUACGAAAACAUCAACCAAUACUCGUAGUCCAGCCUAUAUGGCAUAGGACCCGUAGUAUCAACAUCACAACCAGGAGAUCGGCCUAUAUGGCCAAGAUCCCUUAACAACAACAUUAUCACUAAACAACUCAACCAGUUAGUCACUCCCUUACCAAGAGAUGACUAACCUCAAUCAACAAGAUUAAUUUAACGAGCAAGCAUUUAAUUAAAUCUACUCAAUCAAUCUACUCAAUCAAACUGUUGCCCAGAUAGUUCGGCCUCAUGCUACGACACUAUCUUUAAAGAUAAC